rnacentral:tRNA from 1 species
GGGCAGUUAGCUCAGAUGGGAGAGCAUUUCCUCUACAAGGAAGAGGUCGUAGGUUCAAAUCCUACACUGCCCA